UGGUCUGCUUUAUCUUCUGCCCUCCGGAAGUUUUUCUGAUUCUGUCCACAAAUAGAGGGCUGUGAUAAGGGCAGGAAGAGAGUGUGUACUCAGGAUGUUGGGUUAACACUGGAACAACACCAGAGCGGCUUAUCACACGGAGUGGCGGCCAUAAUACAACAAGCUGCCACGUGGAUGUAUGGUGGUGACAGUGCUGACACAGCCUGCUGGCGAGAGGCCUUGGGUAGCAUUUGCAAACUCUGCUUACUGUCUCAGUGAAUAAACUGUGUGGAUGUUGCAACACGCCAUCGGAUAUGCUAUGACAAUUUUUAGGAAGCUCCAUCAUCCAGGAGGGGCUUGGAGUAGAUAUGCUGCUCCUCCACAUCAAGAGGAGCCGGUCGAGGUAGCUCAGGCAUCUGGUUAGGAUGCCUCCGUAAGGUUAUCCAGGCACAUCCAACCAGGAGGGGACCUAAAGGAAGACCCAGGACAUGUUGGAGGGACAAUGUUUCUCAGCUGGCCAGGGAGCACUUUGAGAUUAUCCCCGAAGGACCUGGCCCAAGCGGCUGGGGAAAGAGAAGUCUGAGCCUCUCUGCUUAGGCUGCUGCCCCAUAACCCGACCCCAGAUAAGUGGGGGAAAUGGAUGGAUGGACUUUUACACAAUUAUGCUGACGUCAGCGGCUGAUUUGGGACAGCAGUAGUUCAGGUGGUAGAUCGGGUUGCCUUGUGAGUGUAGGAUCAAUCCCAACUCCCUACAGGGUUAAUCUCCGGUGUCUUUGGGCAAGACACUUCACACAUCUUUCCUAUGUUGGUGAUGAUCAGUGCAGCCGAUGGUGCAAAUUAAAGUUAAAGUUAAAAGUUCCAUCA